rnacentral:rRNA from 1 species
AGUGAACGCUGGCGGUAGGCCUAACACAUGCAAGUCGAACGGCAGCACAGGAGAGCUUGCUCUCUGGGUGGCGAGUGGCGGACGGGUGAGGAAUACAUCGGAAUCUACCUUUUUCGUGGGGGGAUAACGUAGGGAAACUUACGCUAAUACCGCAUACGACCUACGGGUGAAAGUGGGGGACCGCAAGGCCUCACGCGAUU